UUGGGCUGUUGUGCAAAUUUCAUCGUCUCAGGAGGUGAGUGGAGACAUAGGCUGUACACAUACACAUGUAUACAUACUAUUCUGGGGUAAGCUGCUCCUGAACUGCCCCGAUGAGCCCAGGAGAGUCCUCACAGCCCUUUUGGCAUCCAAAUAGUCACCUGGGCCAAGGGCGUUUUGGAGCAAAUGCAGAAGCAGCUUCCUUGCAGAGGCUUUCUGGUGAUAUCACUUCUCCUGGUCACAUAACUGGGUGGCCUAUUGUGACCUCAACAGAAGCGACAUGGCCAGCAAGUCUCAGCAAGGGAGCUACUUAGCAUAGCAUGGAUCUGUUGGAGUUUUGAACUCUGGAUAGGGUCAGAUCCAGCCCAAUCGAGCUGUCUACACUUCCAAAAAACCGAGAUCACGCUGGAGUUUUCUGGAAGCUGCACAUAAAUCCUGUUUCCCAUUAUUUUUGGGAAUCCAUUAUAUGUUGUGAGGCCUCCCUGUGGCAGUUGAAAGGUCUGCAGAAAACACAGCUUCAAGCCUUGUUGGCAAAUACAUUCCAUCUGUUUUUUUUUAAGUGCUUGCACCCAUAAAUUCCUUGACUUUUGUCUGGAAUCCUGGAUUUGAAUGCUCAUCUUCUGAAUUCCACGUGCAGUGAUGUCUACCUCAUAUAGCCUUGACAUGGCCAAGGAAAUCCUUUCUCCUCUGCUCACCAACUGAUGGAAGAAAGGGUAUUUUCUCUCCACUGUUGUAUUCCCGCUGCAACACCCUCCUUGACAAGCAAAAAGCAAUAACUGGAUGGCCCCGUGACUCACAGCAUCAUUAUCGCUGCUUCCCCCACCGCAGUUCCUGUCACAGGAUAGCCUUCACAGUAAAAUAUUAAAUUGCCUGAAUGAAAAGUCAAA